AUUGAACGCUGGCGGCAGGCCUAACACAUGCAAGUCGAGCGAGCGGCGGACGGGUGAGUAAUGUCUGGGAAACUGCCUGAUGGAGGGGGAUAACUACUGGAAACGGUAGCUAAUACCGCAUACUAUCGGAUGAACCCAUAUGGGAUUAGCUAGUAGGUGGGGUAAAGGCUCACCUAGGCGACGAUCUCUAGCUGGUCUGAGAGGAUGAUCAGCCAAACUGGGACUGAGACACGGCCCAGACUCCUACGGGAGGCAGCAGUGGGGAAUAUUGCACAAUGGGCGCAAGCCUGAUGCAGCCAUGCCGCGUGUAUGAAGAAGGCCUUAGGGUUGUAAAGUACUUUCAGCGGGGAGGCGUUACCCGCAGAAGAAGCACCGGCUAACUCCGUGCCAGCAGCCGCGGUAAUAC
rnacentral:rRNA from 1 species